AAUUGGGGUGGUGAGGAGCAAACUCGACAUUGCACCAAUCACCUAGAAUUGUACAGACAGGAGAGCUAUUUCGCUUACUUAUUUGGAGUGGAAGAGCCUGGAUUUUAUGGAGCUAUUGUAAGAUAUGAUAUAAAUAAGAGUUGAUCUUUUUUUUUUUUUGAAGAUUCUUGGAUUGUUCUCAAAUGUCUAAUCCCUUAUUGGAGAAGUAGCUUAUGAUCUGGUAACUGAGAUUGUCUAUAUUCAAUUGUAUGUUUUGGUUGAUGUGA